rnacentral:rRNA from 1 species
AACGAACGCUGGCGGCAGGCUUAACACAUGCAAGUCGAACGGGUGUAGCAAUACAUCAGUGGCAGACGGGUGAGUAACACGUGGGAACCUUCCUAGGGGUACGGAACAACUCAGGGAAACUUGAGCUAAUACCGUAUACGUCCGUGAGGAGAAAGAUUUAUCGCCCUUAGACGGGCCCGCGUCGGAUUAGCUAGUUGGUGGGGUAACGGCCUACCAAGGCGACGAUCCGUAGCUGAUCUUAGAGGAUGAUCAGCCACACUGGGACUGAGACACGGCCCAGACUCCUACGGGAGGCAGCAGUGGGGAAUCUUGGACAAUGGGCGCAAGCCUGAUCCAGCCAUGCCGCGUGAGUGAAGAAGGCCUUAGGGUUGUAAAGCUCUUUUACCAGGGACGAUAAUGACGGUACCUGGAGAAAAAGCCCCGGCUAACUUCGUGCCAGCAGCCGCCGUAAGAC